rnacentral:tRNA from 1 species
GCCCGGAUGGGGUAGCUAUUCAGGUUGGGAAUCCUGCCUGGACUACAAUGGAUAUCCUAGAAGCUUGCGGAGCUUUAGACCCGUGUUCGAAUCGCGGUCCGGGCG